UCAUCUUCUUGCAUCCUCUAAUAGAUCAAGUUUUCAAAAAAGAAAAUCUGAAAAAACAAAAUUUGAUGAGAACAAUGAAGCGUAAAUGUAAACAACAAUCAACGGUUAAAUUUUGAUAUAUGAUUUAUAUGAUUCUAGCGGCGAAUUUCGAAGUUAAGCUCUUCAUGAAAGUUGUAAAGCUUGUCAUUAUGAGCGUUUAUAUAUUUUUUCUAUAUUUUUUUACACUUCUACAUUAAUUAAAAAACUAUUAAAGAGUUUAGGUAAG
rnacentral:lncRNA from 1 species